rnacentral:rRNA from 1 species
AGAGUUUGAUCCUGGCUCAGGACGAACGCUGGCGGCGCGCCUAACACAUGCAAGUCGAACGGAGCUGAGAGGAGCUUGCUUUUCUUAGCUUAGUGGCGAACGGGUGAGUAACGCGUGAGUAACCUGCCCUGGAGUGGGGGACAACAGUUGGAAACGACUGCUAAUACCGCAUAAGCCCACGGUACCGCAUGGUACUGAGGGAAAAGGAUUUAUUCGCUCUAGGAUGGACUCGCGUCCAAUUAGCUAGUUGGUGAGGUAACGGCCCACCAAGGCGACGAUUGGUAGCCGGACUGAGAGGUUGAACGGCCACAUUGGGACUGAGACACGGCCCAGACUCCUACGGGAGGCAGCAGUGGGGGAUAUUGCACAAUGGGGGAAACCCUGAUGCAGCGACGCCGCGUGGAGGAAGAAGGUCUUCGGAUUGUAAACUCCUGUUGUUGGGGAAGAUAAUGACGGUACCCAACAAGGAAGUGACGGCUAACUACGUGCCAGCAGCCGCGGUAAAACGUAGGUCACAAGCGUUGUCCGGAAUUACUGGGUGUAAAGGGAGCGCAGGCGGGAAGACAAGUUGGAAGUGAAAUCUAUGGGCUCAACCCAUAAACUGCUUUCAAAACUGUUUUUCUUGAGUAGUGCAGAGGUAGGCGGAAUUCCCGGUGUAGCGGUGGAAUGCGUAGAUAUCGGGAGGAACACCAGUGGCGAAGGCGGCCUACUGGGCACCAACUGACGCUGAGGCUCGAAAGUGUGGGUAGCAAACAGGAUUAGAUACCCUGGUAGUCCACACCGUAAACGAUGAUUACUAGGUGUUGGAGGAUUGACCCCUUCAGUGCCGCAGUUAACACAAUAAGUAAUCCACCUGGGGAGUACGACCGCAAGGUUGAAACUCAAAGGAAUUGACGGGGGCC